rnacentral:lncRNA from 1 species
CUAUGAGCUUAACCUAAACUUUUUCUUCUGCCCAUCUCUACUCUGAACUUCACCUCUUUUUAUACUGGACUUCAUUUUAUUUUACGCUGAGCUUUCUAUAUUUUACUGGAUCUCCUAAAGCCUACUGGGUUCAUAUUGCAUUAUCCUGAAAACGUGCCGACGGAAUGGACAGAGGUCGUUGGAUCACUAGGAAUGAUUGACGGAACCUCGCACGUGGAGGGACAAUCUCGCUUUUAGUACAAUACUUUGUACGCCUCGACUCACAGGCCUAAUAUGAUCUUUUCAUCUCUGUAGUAUUUACUAUUUAG